ACUCCCUCUUGGCCAAGGGAAUCCCAGAGAAACCUUGAAAGCUGAAUUUACAGCCAUGAUGGGAUGGGAGAUUGGACAUGCCUCAUUAUACCCUCCUCCUAGCUGAGUCAUUAGGUUUUCUUUCCUAAGGACUAAACAAAAACCAGUUCUUUCAAAAGACCACUAGCUUAUCUUCCCAAGUACUCAAGCACAGCAGCAAUUACGAGAUCAUUGAAGAGGCUGGAUACAAAAGUCGAAAUCCU
rnacentral:lncRNA from 1 species